rnacentral:rRNA from 1 species
UGAGGACCAUAUCUCAUAAGGCUAAAUACUCUUACUAACCGAUAGCGCAUAGUACCGUGAGGGAAAGGUGAAAAGAACCCCUGGAGGGGAGUGAAAUAGAACCUGAAAUUGUGUGCUUACAAGCGGUCAGAGCCCAUUUGGGUGAUGGCGUGCCUUUUGGAGAAUGAUCCUGCGAGUUACGUUAAACGGCGAGGUUAAGUAUAACGGAGCCGAAGGGAAACCAAGUCUUAAUAGGGCGAUAUAGUCGUUUGGCGUAGACGCGAAACCUGGUGAUCUAAACCUGUCCAGGAUGAAGCUGUGGUAAGACACAGUGGAGGUCCUAACCCACCGCCGUUGAAAAGUUGGGGGAUGAGGUAGGUUUAGGGGUGAAAAGCCAAUCGAACCAGGAGAUAGCUCGUUCUCUCCGAAAUGCAUCUAGGUGCAGCCUUGAGUGUUCAAUUAUGGGGGUAGAGCACUGAAUGAUCUAGGGGGCAUAUUGCUUACUGAAAUCAAUCAAACUCCAAAUACCAUAAUUUAUAGCUCAGGAGUGAGACCAUGGGAGUUAACUUCCAUUGUCAAAAGGGAAACAACCCAGACCACCAGCUAAGGUCCCUAAUUAUAACUAAGUGGGAAAGGAGGUGGAGAUUCACAAACAACUAGGAGGUUGGCUUAGAAGCAGCCAUACCUUUAAAGAGUGCGUAAUAGCUCACUAGUCGAGAGUCUCUGCGCCGACAAUGUAACGGGGCUAAGUUAUAAACCGAAGCUGUGGAAUCCUUAUGGAUUGGUAGGAGAGCGUUCUGUAGGCCAUUGAAGAAGAAGGGUAACCAACUUUGGAGGUAUCAGAAGUGAGAAUGCAGGAAUAAGUAGCGAGAAAGGGGGCGAGAAUCCCCCUCGCCGGAAGACCAAGGUUUUCAGGGUAAAGCUUGUCUUCCCUGAGUAAGCCGGGACCUAAGCCCAGGCUAUAAUGCGUAGGCGAAUGGAAAACAGAUUAAUAUUUCUGUGCCAGUCAUUUAUUGUGAUGGAGGGACGCAGAAGGGUAUGUGCGCGGACGAACGGUUGUGUCCGUAGAAGUAUGUAGGGUGACUUAGUAGGAAAAUCCAUUAAGUUAUAUCUGAGGUAUGAUAUACAGUCGUAAGAUGAAUGUGCAAAUCCCACGCUGCCAAGAAAAACUUCUAGCGUUAAUAUAUGACUGCCCGUACUGUAAACCGACACAGGUGGUCAGGAUGAGAAAUCUAAGGCGGACAGGCUAACUCUCGUUAAGGAACUCUGCAAAAUAACCUCGUAACUUCGGGAGAAGAGGAGCCCUUGUGUGUGAGUAUACAUGCGAUACAAAGCACACGAGGGUCGCAGUGAAGAGGCUCAAGCAACUGUUUAACAAAAACACAGGUCUAUGCUAAGCUGUAAGGCGAUGUAUAUGGGCUGACACCUGCCCAGUGCUGGAAGGUUAAGAGGAGGAGUGAGAGCUCCGAAUUGAAGCCCCAGUGAACGGCGGCCGUAACUAUAACGGUCCUAAGGUAGCGAAAUUCCUUGUCGGGUAAGUUCCGACCUGCACGAAUGGUGUAAUGAUUUGAGCGCUGUCUUGACGGGAGGCCUGGUGAAAUUGUAUUACCGGUGAAGAUACCGGUUACCUACAGUAGGACGGAAAGACCCCAUGGAGCUUUACUGUAGCUUGGUAUUGGGUUUUGGCAUUGCAUGUAUAGGAUAGUUGGGAGACUAUGAUGGUAUGGCGCUAGCUGUAUCGGAGUCAUCGGUGGAAUACCAACCAUUCAAUGCUGAAAUUCUAAUCUGUGGUUUGUAGCCACGGAGACAGUGCUAGGUGGGCAGUUUGACUGGGGCGGUCGCCUCCGAAAGAGUAACGGAGGCGUUCAAAGGUUCUCUCAGGUUGGAUGGAAAUCAACCAUAGAGUGCAAUGGCAUAAGAGAGCUUGACUGCAAGACUGACGGGUCGAGCAGAUGCGAAAGCAGGACAUAGUGAUCCGGCGAUUCCGAAUGGAAGGGUCGUCGCUCAACGGAUAAAAGCUACCCUGGGGAUAACAGGCUGAUCCUACCCGAGAGUCCAUAUCGACGGUAGGGUUUGGCACCUCGAUGUCGGCUCAUCGCAUCCUGGGGCUGGAGAAGGUCCCAAGGGUUGGGCUGUUCGCCCAUUAAAGCGGUACGUGAGCUGGGUUCAGAACGUCGUGAGACAGUUCGGUCCCUAUCCACUGUAGGCGUUAGAAUAUUGAGAAGACCUGUCCUUAGUACGAGAGGACCGGGAUGGACAAACCUCUGAUGUACCAGUUGUCACGCCAGUGGCACAGCUGGGUAGUCACGUUUGGAAUAGAUAACCGCUGAAAGCAUCUAAGCGGGAAACUAACUUCAAGAUAAGUAUUCU